rnacentral:misc_RNA from 1 species
GAUGAAGAACGCAGCGAAAUGCGAUAAGUAAUGUGAAUUGCAGAAUUCAGUGAAUCAUCGAUUCUUUGAACGCACAUUGCGCCCAUUAGCAUUCUAGUGGGCAUGCCUGUUCGAGCGUCAUUUCAACCCUUAAGCCCUGUUGCUUAGCGUUGGGAGCCUACAGUACUGUAGCUCCCCAAAGUUAGUGGCGGAGUCGGUUUCACACUCUAGACGUAGUAAUUUUUUCUCGUCUGUAGUUGAGCCGGUCCCCUGCCGUAAAACACCCAAUUUAUCAAGGUUGACCUCGGAUCAGGUAGGAAUACCCGCUGAACUUAAGCAUAUCAAUAAGCGGAGGA